AUCAGGAAGAAUGAAAAGAAAAAAAUCCACAUUACUUUAACGAAGCGUUUUACAUUGGAGCCACUUUCUUUAGACACGGGAUCCCGAUGUCUAAUUUUUAUACAUUUCGUUUUACUUUGUACGCUCGACGGCGCGUAACAGAUAGUCGAAUCGUGUGUCACAUACAUCUAUGUGGGUACACGCCGGCGAUGACUGCAGCAUACACAUAUUGUGACAAAAAGUUUUUUUUCAUUGACGUAUUAUUAUUAUAAAAAAUAAUAACACGUAGGUAUAUGGUUUUUUCGACAUA